rnacentral:lncRNA from 1 species
AUCUCUUUAGAUAAGAUUUAGCAAAUACAUCUCGUCAGAUAAGGUAGAAGAUAAUAGAUAUUUUUACUCAAUAAGUCAAGACUAACCAUCUGAUUCUUCCUUCUCAUGACUCUUCAGCCUCUAUCUAUAAAUAGAGACCCAUAGAAGAUCCAAGGUAUGAAAUCACUUCUCUCACAAAAUGCUCACUUCUUUCCAUCUAUUCUAG